ensembl:snRNA U2 U2 spliceosomal RNA
AUCGCUUCUCGGCCUUUUGGCUAAGAUCAAGUGUAAUAUCUGUUCUUAACGCUUUUUCUCUCUUGCUCAUUUUUUAUCCACCUAUU